UAAAUGCUUGAUACAAAAUUAUAGAAGAACGCAAAAUUCCGAAUUAACUGCACAAGUCUUUAAAAACCCCCCACAUAGCCCCCCAACCGGCACAAAUUUUAUUCACAAACACACCCAGACGCACCAACGAUUGAAAAUUUCCAAGUUACUUAGUAUAUUUACAUACACACACACACGCACACACACACACACACAUCUAUAUUUAUUAUGGCCAUCGGGGAUAUAACAUUUAAGCGCGUUGCGCGUAUUAUUUACAAUGACAAAUUCUACUGGAUGCUGUUCAAGAGCUUUGCCCUCUUCUUUGUCGGACUGCGCGUCCUUAACGAGUUCGAUGGCUACGAGCUUAAGGCAGUGCUGCCCUAUUAGAGUCUUGCCCUGCAGUGGAAGGAAAGACGCUGUAACUUAAAACUGACCGAAAAUAUAUCAAAAUAUUUAUGUUAUCAUUGGAUGAUUAGGCUCGGCGCACUGUUGUUUACGAAAGCUAAGAUGAAGAUGUGCCAGGAAGUGGGGCACGGCCGCUGUCAAAACAUUCCUAAUUCUGUGGAGAUUGUAAAAGCAUCACACGUCAAAAUAAACUGAAUGCGACCUCAA